AGAAACUUAGGAUAAUAAAACCAAGAGCCUUCAAAGCCCUAAAUAGAAGUUAAAACCCUUCUAGUUUCUG
rnacentral:tRNA from 1 species